rnacentral:rRNA from 1 species
UACGAAGGGUGCAAACGUUGCUCGGAAUUAUUGGGCGUAAAGCGCGCGCAGGCGGUUUCUUAAGUCUGAUGUGAAAGCCCCCGGCUCAACCGGGGAGGGUCAUUGGAAACUGGGGAACUUGAGUGCAGAAGAGAAGAGCGGAAUUCCACGUGUAGCGGUGAAAUGCGUAGAGAUGUGGAGGAACACCAGUGGCGAAGGCGGCUCUUUGGUCUGUAACUGACGCUGAGGCGCGAAAGCGUGGGGAGCAAACAGG